rnacentral:other from 1 species
CGACUGCGGCGCGGUGCGUGGAUCGUCAAGAUCCCUGGGGCCGAUUAUCACCUCUAGGGAACUGUCCCUGCCGGGGUCGUGGCCUCGGUAUACGGUGCCCACCUGCAUCAGCAGGCCCGAGAGGACUCUGUGAUCACGGCCGAGGCGGCAGCGCC